rnacentral:rRNA from 1 species
GGCGCACGGUGGAUGCCUUGGCACUAGAAGCCGAUGAAGGACGUUACUAACGACGAUAUGCUUUGGGGAGCUGUAAGUAAGCUUUGAUCCAGAGAUUUCCGAAUGGGGAAACCCAGCAUGAGUUAUGUCAUGUUAUCGAUAUGUGAAUACAUAGCAUAUCAGAAGGCACACCCGGAGAACUGAAACAUCUUAGUACCCGGAGGAAGAGAAAGAAAAUUCGAUUCCCUUAGUAGCGGCGAGCGAAACGGGAAGAGCCCAAACCAACAAGCUUGCUUGUUGGGGUUGUAGGACACUCUAUACGGAGUUACAAAGGACGACAUUAGACGAAUCAUCUGGAAAGAUGAAUCAAAGAAGGUAAUAAUCCUGUAGUCGAAAAUGUUGUCUCUC